UUUUAGUUCAGUUGGUAGAACGCAGGUCUCCAAAACCUGAUGUCGAAGGUUCAAGUCCUUCAG
rnacentral:tRNA from 1 species